GAUGAACGCUGGCGGCGUGCCUAAUACAUGCAAGUCGAGCGAACGGACGAGAAGCUUGCUUCUCUGAUGUUAGCGGCGGACGGGUGAGUAACACGUGGAUAACCUCCCUAUCAGACUGGGAUAACUUCGGGACACCGGCGCUAAUACCGGAUAAUAUUUUGCACCGCAUGGUUCAAAAGUGAAAGACGGCCUUGCUGUCACUUAUAGCUGGAUCCGCGCUGGAUUAGCUAGUUGGUAAGGUAACGGCGUACGAAGGCAACGAUGCAUAGCCGACCGGAGAGAGGGAUCGGCCACACUGGAACUUAGACACGGACCUGAGGACUACGGGACGCAGCAGUAUGGAAUCUGCCGCAAUGGGCGAAAGCCUGACGGAGCAACGGGGCGUGAGUGAUGGAGGUGUUCGGAGCGUAAAAACCUGUUACGAGUGAAGAACAUAUGUGUAAUGAACUGUGCACAUCUUGACGGUAACGAAUCAGAAAGCAACGGCUAACUACGUG
rnacentral:rRNA from 1 species